GUGCUUGCUUCGGCAGCACAUGUACUAGGAUUGGAACGAUACAGAGAAGAUUAGCCUGGCCCCUGCACAAGGAUGACACGCAAAUUCAUGAAGCGUUCCAUAUUUAA
ensembl:snRNA U6 U6 spliceosomal RNA